UACGUAGGGGGCAAGCGUUGUCCGGAAUCAUUGGGCGUAAAGAGCGCGUAGGCGGUCCGGUAAGUCCGCUGUGAAAGUCAAGGGCUCAACCCUUGAAUGCCGGUGGAUACUGUCGGGCUAGAGUCCGGAAGAGGCGAGUGGAAUUCCUGGUGUAGCGGUGGAAUGCGCAGAUAUCAGGAGGAACACCGGUGGCGAAGGCGGGAUCCUGGGCCAGUACUGACGCUGAGGAGCGAAAGCGUGGGGAGCAAACAGG
rnacentral:rRNA from 1 species